GAUUUCUGGCUUGAAACAUUUUGCCGGCCACGGUUUCGUGUGUUAGUGCUUGAUGUUCUGGCCAUCCUUCCAAUUGCUAUACACCUUUCUUCAUUGAUUGGUGUGUGGUAUUGGAUCUUUUACUUUGAAAAAAUUAGAGUGUUUCAAGCAGGCUUUAUGCUAUGAAUACAUUAGCAUGGAAUAAUAAUUUAGGACUUCGGUUCUAUUUUGUUGGUUUCUAGGACUGAAGUAAUGAUUGAUAGGGAUAGUUGGGGGUGCUAGUAUUCAGCGGCCAGAGGUGAAAUUCUCGGAUUCGCUGAAGACUAACUUAUGCGAAAGCAUU
rnacentral:rRNA from 1 species